UUUUUUUAUUCCGUAAGAAAAGAUCCAAGAGCUGUGAUACUUGAUAAAACCACGGCAGAAAUUUCAGAAGUAGUUUUAAGCAUUUCACAGUUUUCUUUGAACAUUUUCCUCAGUGUCCGCUGACAUCAUACCUAAAAUAACUUGCCGCAGAUUAAUUGUUGAAAAUCACAUCAGAACAAAUGCAAACUGGAGUUAAAAGCAAUGGGAAGAAACUCAACUCCAUAAUUAUUAUAUUUACUCUGUGAGAAGAAACAUAAUCUCAUGAAAUAUUUCAACUCUAUAGAGACAGAGCACAUUUAAGUCCCGCCCCCACCGGAGGGAUAACCAAUCUCUGCUCUCCGUUGACUUGUGCUGCGUGAAGGUUUCCUCCUCUUUUAUUCUACACACAGAAAGUUUCAUAUAUGCUUCAAAUAUGAAGAAAUGAUUCAUCAUUAGUAAACCUUUAUUUUAUGAUCAUUUACUUAAAAAUAAACCCCCUCUGAUGUUAUUUGGUUUGAAAAAUCACAACUGAAUCCACCCGUCUGAUGGGAUCAGGCUAAUCCUGUUUUUUUGGACGAAAUAGAUCCCUUACAGAGUUAAAAGUUUUGAAAAAGCGAACGUUUGAUGCAGAUCAAAUGUGGGAUCGGAUUACGUGAUCUGAUCUUGUUCGGUAUCCCUCAUUUGCUUUUGAAAAACACAUUUCCGAGAUUUGAACCGCUCCGUGAUCCUAAAUUCCACUGGAUUACUUUUGAAGAACUGGGCCCAGAAGCCUCAUUUAUCACCUCGUUUCAGGGCGGUGACGAACAAUCCUCCAAAACACUUCCAGGAAACAUGGAUUAUAUUUUAACUUUGAAGAUGUGUUGAGGAACGAUGGAGUCUUUUUGAUUCCUGUCAGAAGAAAAGUUGCAUUUCUGUUAAGAACAUUCUUCAAAAUGUCAGAACUAACACGCAGGAUUUAAGUCAUCAGCAAACUGGACCAAACUGGAACCUAAAGAACCAAAGACUUCGUCACCGCGAGUGAUCUCAAAACCCCCAAAAUCACAAAUAUAUGGAGCUCAUUUAUUUAUUUCUAAGAUUAUUUUUUGGGGCAUUUUAGGCCUUUUUUUAUACAAGACAGCUGAAGAAAUGAGAGAAGGGGAGGGACCUUCAGUGAAGGGCUGCAUGUUGGAGAUGAACCUGAGGCCGCGGCAAAGCUCUGCCAGAUGAGCUACCCGGGCACCACAUCUGGAGCUCAGUUAUUUUUUACAAGACUUCAUUUCCCACGGUUUUUAUUUGCGAAAGCCCUCUUUCUGAUGGAUCUCUCUUUACAUUUCAGUAUCAUAACGCUCGUCCUACAUCGGAGCUCGAUGUGUUCUCGUAGAAGAGGAUCGGUCUUCAGGAAUUCAAAAAACGACGUCGGACUCUUGUUCUCCUCUCUGCCUGAACGCGUCCUUCCUCUAGCGUCAUGUUUUGUAAUGUCCGUGUUGUAAAUGUUGUUUUAUUCCUCCGUUGUAGUUUUCUGUGAAACAGAUAUUUUUUCUUGACAAAAGCAGUAAAAUGUCUGGCGCUGCUGGAUCCAGUCCAAGCCUUUGAAUAUCCACAGGUGGAGGUUUUUUGUAUUUAUUGUUUGUUUUGGGACGAAAAACACAACGAGGAAGAAGAAGCCAGUGUUUAAUUUUAAAUAACUUCAGUUAUUUUUUAUCAACUGUUUAAAGUAUUUGGUAAUUUAUUUUCUUAAAUAUUUUGUGUACAUCUUUUUAACGACUUGAUGCUGUAAAAGCCCAAUAAAUGAUAUUUAAUAAGUA